rnacentral:rRNA from 1 species
GACUAACGCUGGCGGCGUGCCUAACACAUGCAAGUCUAACGAGAAAGCGGUAGCAAUAUCGUGAGUAAAGUGGCGAACGGGUGAGUAACACGUAACUAAUCUGCCCUCCAGUGGAGGAAAACUCAGGGAAACUUGAGCUAAUCCUUCAUAACGUGAUGAGAUCGCAUGGUUUUGUCAUUAAAGAUUUAUCGCUGGAGGAGGAGGUUGCGUCUGAUUAGCCAGAUGGCGGGGUAACGGCCCACCAUAGCUAUGAUCAGUAGCUGGUCUGAGAGGAUGAUCAGCCACACUGGGACUGAGAUACGGCCCAGACUCCUACGGGAGGCAGCAGUGAGGAAUAUUGCGCAAUGGGCGAAAGCCUGACGCAGCAACGCCGCGUGUAGGAUGAAAUC